rnacentral:lncRNA from 1 species
UUUUUCAGCAAGACUCUUUUAUUUUUAAUUUGUUCGUUUCGUUAUUCGUUUCGAAAUUUAGUAUUGCAUCUCAUAAUUAUUCCUUGUCAAUUUAUUUUGAUAGUUCGUUUUGGUGUUCAUAGUUGGAACUCAUAUUUGUACUCUUUAGACUAGUACAACAGGUUUAAAUUUAUUUUGAUAGUUCCGUCUUGGUAUUGAUACUUAGAACUCGUGUUUGUACUCUUGAUCUAGUGUAUCAUCUUUUGUAUUUAUUUUGAUUCUCGUAGAAAGUACAUGUUAAUAUUUUUUGGAGACUUGAGUUGAUGAUUCAUUUCAGUUUAACAUGUAUAUAUUAGAAACCCUUUUGUUGAUAUUAUGUCGCAUGUGUUGUGGCAUGGUAUCCUUAUUAGAAUACCGUAGGGUAUACCUGAGCUAUAACCACCUGUGGGGGGUACCACAGGCAUGUCCUCUUGGCACCGAGGCAUGACACCUUCCGUGGCGGUGUGAUCAGUCCACGGCGUCUCCGUUUUGUUCUCCGGUGGGAGUUGGCCAUUUGGUGUUUUGUUGUGGGAGGCGUAUAGGUCGACCCUAAUUUUUCUGUUCUGUUCUGUUCUGCGGAUUGGUGAUGUUUGUGCCAAACACGCCUUCCGAUUUUGCACGCAUCUGGAUUGCGCAGUCCGAUGUGUGAUUGCCUGUGUG